rnacentral:rRNA from 2 species
CAACUUUCGACAACGGAUCUCUUGGUUCUCCCAUCGAU